AAGUUGCUAGGUGACCCAAUACGGGCAUCGGGCAAAACUCGCGUAGGAUUAGCGAGCUGGGUCGCGACGCCAAUACAGCGGCCCAUGGCUUAUCCUUAGCCUGUCUUAACGGUACUAGGCCACGGUGGCACUGAAAAGGGGCCACGGUUCUUAUGAACCCAGCAGUGUUGAAUUUUGGACAAUCGCUUGAACGGCGGAUCCAGAUGCUGCUUACAAAU
rnacentral:rRNA from 1 species